rnacentral:rRNA from 1 species
AGGACGAACGCUGGCGGCGUGCUUAACACAUGCAAGUCGAGCGGUAAGGCCUUUCGGGGUACACGAGCGGCGAACGGGUGAGUAACACGUGGGCGAUCUGCCCUGCACUUCGGGAUAAGCCUGGGAAACUGGGUCUAAUACCGGAUAUGACCUCCUAUCGCAUGGUGGGUGGUGGAAAGAUUUAUCGGUGCAGGAUGGGCCCGCGGCCUAUCAGCUUGUUGGUGGGGUAAUGGCCUACCAAGGCGACGACGGGUAGCCGACCUGAGAGGGUGACCGGCCACACUGGGACUGAGACACGGCCCAGACUCCUACGGGAGGCAGCAGUGGGGAAUAUUGCACAAUGGGCGAAAGCCUGAUGCAGCGACGCCGCGUGGAGGAUGACGGCCUUCGGGUUGUAAACCUCUUUCAGCGAGGGACGAAGGCGCGAAGUGACAGUACCUGACAGAAGAA